UGUAACCUAAGCUCCUCACCACCACCACUCCUGCCGCCGACCACCACAACCGCCCUAACAUCACCACCGUAAGCACAAUCACCGCCUAACAUUCUCACUCCAUGUCUCUCUUUUCUUGGUCGAUUGCAGCUGUGGAUUGAUGUCAGAGGCUGGUGCCCAGAUCUGCAAAAUCGAAGUUUGGGAGGCUAGUGGAAUGGUGUGGUUGUGUUUGAUUCAGAGGUGGGUUUGCUCGAUUUAGUUAAUCAUUACAUCCCAUUUGAUUCGGAGGUGCGGUUGUGUUUGAUUCAGAGGUUGGUUUGCUUGAUUCAGAGGUUGGAUCAGAUGCUUGCUUCUAUGCAUAGUGCAAGUGUUGAAGAAGCAAAGGCAUCACAUUUGUAUAGUUAUAAACAUGAGUUUAUAGGGCUUGUAGUGUCUAUCACAGUGGUGGUGGCGGAUUAG
rnacentral:lncRNA from 1 species